UACGUAGGGGGCUAGCGUUGUCCGGAAUCAUUGGGCGUAAAGCGCGUGUAGGCGGUCCGGUAAGUCCGCUGUGAAAGUCGAGGGCUCAACCCUCGAAUGCCGGUGGAUACUGUCGGGCUUGAGUACGGGAGAGGCGAGUGGAAUUCCUGGUGUAGCGGUGAAAUGCGCAGAUAUCAGGAGGAACACCAAUGGCGAAGGCAGCACUCUGGGACGGUACUGACGCUGAGACGCGAAAGCGUGGGGAGCAAACAGG
rnacentral:rRNA from 1 species